rnacentral:rRNA from 1 species
UAGGGAAUCUUCCGCAAUGGACGAAAGUCUGACGGAGCAACGCCGCGUGAGUGAAGAAGGAUUUCGGUUCGUAAAACUCUGUUGUUAGGGAAGAAAAAAUGUAUAGUAACUAUAUACAAAAGAGACGGUACCUAACCAGAAAGCCACGGCUAACUACGUGCCAGCAGCCGCGGUAAUACGUAGGUGGCAAGCGUUGUCCGGAAUUAUUGGGAGUAAAGCGCGCGCAGGUGGUGUAGAAAGUCUGAUGUGAAAGCCCACGGCUCAACCGUGGAGGGUCAUUGGAAACUAAUAAACUUGAGUGCAGGAGAGAAAAGUGGAAGUCCUAGUGUAGCGGUGAAAUGCGUAGAGAUUAGGAGGAACACCGGUGGCGAAAGCGGCUUUUUGGCCUGCAACUGACACUGAGGCACGAAAGCGUGGGUAGCAAACAGG